UACGAAGGGGGCUAGCGUUGCUCGGAAUCACUGGGCGUAAAGGGCGCGUAGGCGGCGUUUUAAGUCGGGGGUGAAAGCCUGUGGCUCAACCACAGAAUUGCCUUCGAUACUGGUUGGCUUGAGACCGGAAGAGGACAGCGGAACUGCGAGUGUAGAGGUGAAAUUCGUAGAUAUUCGCAAGAACACCAGUGGCGAAGGCGGCUGUCUGGUCCGGUUCUGACGCUGAGGCGCGAAAGCGUGGGGAGCAAACAGG
rnacentral:rRNA from 1 species